GUGUGUCUGAGUGGCAUACAUGAAGACUGUAACAUAAGACUUUGGUUGUUCCCACAAUAACGGACAUUAAUGAAAGAACUUCUCAAAGGAAACUUCUGGCUUCCUCGUCCCUCACAGUGCAUCUAAUCAGGACUGAUUAGGUGUGUGGUAGCCAGAAACAUGCAGGGGAGUGGUGGCUGCUGCUGUGCAUGUGAGGGCUUUUCCUGCAUGGUCUACAGGGCUGAGAAAAAGACAGAGGAAUCAGAGGAUGUCAUGUUGUGGCAUUUCAUAGUUUCUGUUUGCUUUAUAGGAUCCUAACAGAAGAAGCUGCAGGGGGAAAAACAACCAAAGCGGUUACAUCAGAUCCCACCAAAGGCAGCGUGGUCAGCUGAAUUUAGUCAUACAUUAGUCGUACCACAGGACACACAAGAUGGGAGAGAGAGCAACGGGACCACCACCACCACCACCAACCACCGGUAGCCUUCAGCACGUGGGGACCCGGGGUGAUCAUCCACAUUCCAGCUUGUGGGCUGGAACUCCUACUCGUUAUCUGGCGCCAUGUUUUCACUUUCUGAUACCUUUAAAAAGCACCUUAAUUAUACCAGCACAUUAAUUUCAAUAAAGUGGUUUUGUAUUUUUUUUAUAACGCAUUUAAGGGUAAAAAUGUUUUUCAAGUUGAAUCCACCCCCCCCAAUUAUAAAUAACAAUAGCGAAAUGAUGAUGAAGUGGCGUUAUGAGAAAUCUUAUGUUCUUGAUGGUUCUUAAAACGCAGACUCCCAUUGUAGCUAAAUAUUGACGUAGUUAUUCCAGCAAAAAGGCUGAAAUAAACAAAUACUACAUUUAAUAAACAGAAAAUUCUUUUUUUUUAAA
ensembl:lncRNA